GCCAGGAGUUCAAGGCUAGCCUGAGCAUAGCUAGUAAGAUCCCAUCUCCACCAACAAAACAUAAAAGAAUAAUCUGGGUGUGGUUGUGCACACCUUUAGUCCCAGGUACUCAGGAGUCUGAAAUGGGAGGAUUAUGUGAGCCUAGGAGUUCGAGAUUUCAGUGAGCUAUAAUUCCUCCACUGUACCCCAGCCUGGGUGACAGAGCAAGGCCCUGUCUCUAAGAAAAAUUAAAAACCCAAAAUAAAAAUAAAGAGAAAGAUUUUCCUUAGAUUAAUAAGAUCUGUAACUUCCAAAGUAAUCAUUACAGAUGACUAAGGUAAUUAAAGGUUAAAUUUAAACUGCUUGUCUUUAGGCAUUGAAGUGAUUUUAUGACUGUCUGUCACGACAAUCUUUUCAACUUGGAAUUCUUCUUUUUUUUUUUUUCUUUUUCCAGUUUGUAUGCCAGAAGAAGGGUUUAAAGGUACUGGUCUCCUUGGACAUUAAUCUGUGAAUACUUGUGGACUGCUGAGGAAUGACCAGAGGGGAAGAGGACUUUGACAUGUUAGGGCAUUAAAGAAAAGGUGGAUUUAAGAAUUAAACCAUUAUGUGACUCUUCCAAAAGGCAAAAAUCCAUUCAAAAGUGACUGUCCCAAAUGCCUUAUGUCAAAUAAAGCAGAUUGCACUGAGGACAUCAGACUUGAAGGAAAUGUUUCCAAUUUUAUAUUUAAGGGGGGUGGAGGGAGGGAGAGGGCAAGUAAAGAUUGAAGAAGUUUAGUAGCAGUAACAGUAAAUCAUGUUUACACGCGAGAUUUAUAGUCAUGGGCGGGAAUAAAGUCCUGUUAUAUUUCCUUGCUCGAGUUUCAUACCGGAUGCAUUGGUCCAUAAAGGAUUUGUAUCACAGUAGAUGGGACAACAUUCUGCUCUGAAUGAAAAAUAAUUCUUUAGAGACAUAACCUGCUUACCAAUACUUGUCUUUGAUUCAUAUUCUACUUUCAAUAAAGCAUGAAAGUGAAGAACUUA